rfam:Citrus clementina cultivar Clemenules unplaced genomic scaffold scaffold_3, whole genome shotgun sequence.
GCUUUAAGUUAUAAUGAUUUAAUCCUGCAUAUACUCGAUGGCUUAAGUCUAGAAUAUAGUUUUGUUGCUACCUACAUCACUAGACAAGUAGGUGUGGGAAAGAUGAAUGUGAAUGAAUCUUAUGCUAUGCUCUUAAC